rnacentral:rRNA from 1 species
GCGCUUCGGGAUGGGCUCGCGGCCUAUCAGCUUGUUGGUGGGGUAACGGCCCACCAAGGCUUCGACGGGUAGCUGGUCUGAGAGGACGAUCAGCCACACUGGGACUGAGACACGGCCCAG